GGAAGUGUGCCUGAAAGCUAAGGAUCUCCUUGAAAGGGAGAACAAUAGAAGUUCAAAUCUCC
rnacentral:tRNA from 1 species